GCAAAAACUAGAGUUUGGCUUUGGUGCUCUCAAAAUGAAGCCUUUGUUAAACCAGCAUUCUUGGGGCUUUUGCCAGGUAUCUGACAAUCAGGCUUUCCAAAAAUGUAUUGACAUCACAAAUGUAGUUGGCAGAUGAGUGAUGUGUGCGACUAUCAAAAGCAGAAAGGUAGCAAACAUCUUGACGAGACAAGUUUGUGUAUCCACCAACAUGGCAUCAUAAAUUAUACUGCAUUUCAUUCACCAAAGAAAGAAAAUUUGCAGACCUUGUAAAAAUGCCUUCCAUAUCCUGUAGUUAUGACUUACAUUACUUGCUAUCUCACAGUUUGAGAAAAAAGAUAUUAUUAGGCAAUGUGGAUCUCAUAAUUACAAUAAAAGAUUUCAUAAUUGAGAAGAGAUCUAAAGAUUAGAAUAAAAGAAUUAGUACAGAUGUCCUACAGUAUUCUAAUACAUGCCAUUUAGAUAACAACAGAGCAUAACUAUUACAUGCUGUUUACAUGUUACUAUUACAUUAGGAUUUCCAGAAAUCCAGUACAAAUACUUUUGCACAUUAAGUAGUUGUUAAUUAUUAUUUUCUACUCCAGUCUGUCUUUUCACUAAAGAAUAUCUCACUGACUGUCACUAGUUGUUACUGGAUAUGCAGUGGUGCAAUAUCAGUUUGACUAGUAGCCAACACAGUGUUUGAUCAGCAUCCAUUUGUGUUUCUAUCAUCUACUUGUUAGUCUGCAGCUGGGCAAUAUGCCAAUAUUAUACUGAUAUUGUGAUAUGACACAAGGUAUCAUCUUAGAUUUUGGAUAUUGUAAUAACAAAAGUGUUGUUGUUUUUCCUGGGUUUAAAGACUGGGUAACAGUGAAGUGAUAUAAUUUUCUGGAGUUACCAGACUACUCUAGUUGUUCUGUUAUUUGCCUUUACCCACAUCAUAUCCACAUUACUGCUGAUUAUUCAUCAAAAAUCUGUGUAAAUAUUUUAUAAAAGCACCAACAGUCACCCUUAUUAUGUCACAAAAACAUUGACAUUUGAUUUUUCGAUAUUGUCAAGCCCUGAUGAAUAUCAAAAUCGUAACGAAAAUGCAAUUACUAUAUUUCCUGAGGGAGGGGGGAAAUUAAGUUUAACCCUAAAAGAGACUGGCUUUGGAAAUCUGUCAAAUUACAAUAUUGUCUUGCGAUUGACAAUAGCAUUUCAUGAUAGAACAUAAACGUGAAGUCAAAUAGGCAAGGCACCGUCAUUGAUUUGUUUAUAUAAUUAUGGUGGAAGAAGUGAUGAACGGUCAGACCAAUGACAGGUUCCCGGGGGACAUGGGAGUGCAUCUAACCGCAGACAGAUUCGCCACCUUCUUCUGUGCAAUGCAACAGACUGACAUUCAACAUCCUGACCGUCCAUACCCAUUGAGUGCACAGUUGCCCACAUACAGUUUCACAUGUCUGGUGAGGAGGAUGAAACCCUGGCAGUGAGAUGCACCAACAGACAUCAAAACUAGCCCCAUCUGCCACAAGUGCCAUGCCCUACAUUUGAACGCUCACAAGGACACACAUAAAUGGAACUGCACACUAAUGAAAUCCAUCCAUCCAUCCAUCCAUCCAUCCAUCCAUCCAUCCAUCCACCCAUCCAUUUUCUAACUGCUUAUCCUCGUAGAGGGUCACGGGGGGGCUGGAGCCUAUCCCAGCUGACAUUGGUUGCGAGGCAGGGCACACCCUGGACACUUUGCCAGACUAUCGCAGGGCUGACAUGUAGAGACAGACAACCAUUCACAUUCACACCUACGGACAAUUUAGAGUCACCAAUUAACCUAUCCCCAACCUGCAUGUCUUUGGACUGUGGGAGGAAGCCGGAGUACCCGGAGAGAACCCACGGUGACACAAGGAGAGCAUGCAAACUCCGCACAGAAGGAGCUCCCACACCCGGGAUCGAACCAGGAACCCUCUUGCUGUGACAGUGCUAACCACCACACCACCGUGCCGCCCCACUAAUGAAAUCAUAGUUGUGAAUGUUAUUUUCAAUUUCUGCCAAUAGGUGCCCCUAUACACUGGACCUUUAAAUGUUUCAAGUUUGAUGAUUUAUGCACAACUCACAUUAAACAGUGAGCAAUAAAGUAAAUAUUCAUACUGUACGCACUGUCAAUACUGUGCACAAGUCUUAAGUGUAACAAAAGCUAUACAGUGGCGAGAGGCCAAAUGACCAGAACAGUUCAGAUUCACCUGUUUGAAUUCAUCUGUUUCUAAUUAAAAAAAAACAAAACAAAAAAAAAAACAUUUUUCACAAAAUAUUUGCAUCACUGUAUUGAAAGGUAUAACUGUAUUGGUAUCAGUGUAUUAAACUAUGUCUAAUCCUA